AGAGUUUGAUCCUGGCUCAGGAUGAACGCUGGCGGCGUGCCUAACACAUGCAAGUUGAGCGAUUUACUUCGGUAAAGAGCGGCGGACGGGUGAGUAACGCGUGGGUAACCUACCCUGUACACACGGAUAACAUACCGAAAGGUAUGCUAAUACGGGAUAAUAUAUUUGAGAGGCAUCUCUUAAAUAUCAAAGGUGAGCCAGUACAGGAUGGACCCGCGUCUGAUUAGCUAGUUGGUAAGGUAACGGCUUACCAAGGCGACGAUCAGUAGCCGACCUGAGAGGGUGAUCGGCCACAUUGGAACUGAGACACGGUCCAAACUCCUACGGGAGGCAGCAGUGGGGAAUAUUGCACAAUGGGCGAAAGCCUGAUGCAGCAACGCCGCGUGAGUGAUGAAGGCCUUCGGGUCGUAAAACUCUGUCCUCAAGGAAGAUAAUGACGGUACUUGAGGAGGAAGCCCCGGCUAACUACGUGCCAGCAGCCGCGGUAAUACGUAGGGGGCUAGCGUUAUCCGGAUUUACUGGGCGUAAAGGGUGCGUAGGCGGUCUUUCAAGUCAGGAGUGAAAGGCUACGGCUCAACCGUAGUAAGCUCUUGAAACUGGGAGACUUGAGUGCAGGAGAGGAGAGUGGAAUUCCUAGUGUAGCGGUGAAAUGCGUAGAUAUUAGGAGGAACACCAGUUGCGAAGGCGGCUCUCUGGACUGUAACUGACGCUGAGGCACGAAAGCGUGGGGAGCAAACAGGAUUAGAUACCCUGGUAGUCCACGCUGUAAACGAUGAGUACUAGGUGUCGGGGGUUACCCCCUUCGGUGCCGCAGCUAACGCAUUAAGUACUCCGCCUGGGAAGUACGCUCGCAAGAGUGAAACUCAAAGGAAUUGACGGGGACCCGCACAAGUAGCGGAGCAUGUGGUUUAAUUCGAAGCAACGCGAAGAACCUUACCUAAGCUUGACAUCCCAAUGACAUCUCCUUAAUCGGAGAGUUCCCUUCGGGGACAUUGGUGACAGGUGGUGCAUGGUUGUCGUCAGCUCGUGUCGUGAGAUGUUGGGUUAAGUCCCGCAACGAGCGCAACNUUUUUUGUAAAAUAGUAACUUUUAUAGAUAAUUUAUCUUUAUUUUAAAUUAUAUUUGGUAUAAUAUGUUAUUAUAGGUGUUUUUUACUACAUAAUGUGAUUUUUUCCAUAACAAAAUGACCACCAAAAAGGCAGUCAUCCUAGACUCUUCCUACGUAUACAAUAUACCUAGAACUCUUUUUGGCAACUGGCUGACAUAGUUUGUGUAUACAAACCUUAGCCCCUAUAGCUUUGCGUCACUAGAUUUCUCUAGAUUUGCCUAUUUAGUUUUAACUUAAGUAUACAAUAAAUAACAAAUUUUUUAAAUAUCUUUUUUGUGUAUAAUUAAAUAUUUUAUUUUUUAAAUUUAGUUACCAAUAAUUACAAAGAUUAUAAACACUAUAGUCUACAAUUUUAUAAUAAACUCUUUGAAAAUAUUUUUAAUUUAUAAAAAUAUUAGACAAAUCUCAUCUUUAUUCUAUAUUCUUCCAUAUAUUUCAAUUUUAUUUGUACAAUAUAUCAAUAUUUAAAAAUGUCAAUUAACGAAAUUUAAAUAAAUGAUAUAUAGAAAAUUUAUUUUUGAUAUUAUUAUGAUUAGUUUAAUAUUCAUUUAUAAUUUUAAUUAUAUAACUAACUUCUUCAUCUUCCAUACCGACAAAUAAAGGUAUACUAACAACUUUAUCUGAAUAGUUCUCAGCUAUAUUAAAACUCCCCUUUUUAUAUCCCAAAUAAGCAUAUGCUUCAGAUAGAUGUGGUGGUAUCGGAUAAUGUAUUAUAGACUCUAUACCAUUUUUCUUUAAGUAUUCCAUAAAUGUAUCUCGUUUUUCAACUUGUAAAACAAAUAAGUGCCAUACAUGAGUACAAUUAUUUUCUAUCUUUGGAAGUAUGACUUUGGGAUUAUUAAUUUCAUUAAGAUAUCUAUCUACGAUUUUUGAUUUUUCAAUUUCAAUUUCAUUUAGAUAUUUAAGUUUUACUCUUAAUAAACCUGCCUGAAUUUCGUCCAAUCUUGAAUUAUAUCCGACAAAUUUAUUAUAAUAUCGCUUUUCUGAACCAUAGUUUCUAAGAAUUUUCACUUUAUCAGCUAUUUCCUCAUUACUAGUUACUAUAGCUCCUGCAUCUCCAAAUGCACCCAAAUUUUUACUUGGAUAAAAACUAAAACAACCUAUAUCACCAAAUGUUCCUGUCAUUUUUCCAUCAUAUUUAGCUCCAUGAGAUUGAGCACAAUCUUCAAUUAAAUACAAGUUAUACUUAUCACAUAAUUCUUGUAUAUCUUUCAUUUUACUUGCUUGACCAUAUAAAUGAACUACUAAUAUAGCUUUUGUUUUGCUAUUUAUCUUUUCUUCUAUCUUAGAUGAAUCUAUAUUAUAAUAUUCAUUUGGUUCUACAAAUACUGGUGUUGCUCCAUUUAUGCUGAUUCCCAUAACACUAGCAAUAUAUGUAUUUGAUUGCACGAUUACUUCAUCACCUUCACUUAUUCCUAAUGCUCUAAAAGCAAUUAUAAGUGCAUCUAAACCACUGGCUAAACCAACACAAUAUUUGCUACCUACAUAGCUAGCAAAUUCUUCUUCAAAAUGCCUUACUUCAUUUCCAAGGAUAUAAUAUCCACUUUCCAUUACAUCCUUAAUCUUCUGUUCAUAUUCUUCUUUAUGAGUUUGGAACUGUUUUAAUAAAUUAUUAAAUUUAACCAACAAUAAAUUCACAUCCUAAUCUAUUUAUUCUCUAUAUGGCUAUCUUAAAUUUAUUUAAUUAAGAAAAUACAUCACUAACUGUAUAAUAACUACAUAUUAUUUAAAUACUUUAAAAAUUCUUUAUAGUCUCUAAUAUAAUCUUCUUCAUUGUAAUGUUCAGAUGCUAUAGAAAUUAAAACAGUUUUUUCAUCAAAGUCAAACAUCUCAUGCCACACUCCCGUUCCUAUAUACAAUCCAACAUCAUUUUUAUGUAAAUUAAAUAUACUCUCUUUUACACCAUCAUAACAUUUUAUCUUCACACUUCCAUUUAGGCAAACUAGUACUUGUUCCAAGUUUUUGUGUGCAUGAAAUCCUCUCUUUACAUUGUUUGGUACAUCAUAUAUGUAAUAAACUCUCUUUAUAUCAAAAGGUAUUGCUUUAUUUGAUUCUAAUGCAACUAAAUUUCCUAUAUAUUCGUUUCCAAUAGAUAAGAACUUAAUUAAAUUAUAUUUAUCCAUAAAUUUAUCU
rnacentral:rRNA from 1 species